rnacentral:rRNA from 1 species
GACGAACGCUGGCGGCGUGCUUAACACAUGCAAGUCGAACGGUAAGGCCCUGCUCUUGUGGGGUGUUCGAGUGGAGAACGGGUGAGUAAAACGUGUGUAACCUGUCCCUUACUUUGGGAUAACUCCAGGGAACUCGGGCUAAUAUCGGACAGGAGCACUUGCUGCACGGUGGGGGUUGGAAAGAUUCGGCGGUUGGGGAUGGACUCGCGGCCUAUCAGCUUGUUGGUGGGGUAGUGGCUUACCAAGGCAUCGACGGGUAGCCGGCCUGAGAGGGUGACCGGCCACAUUGGGACUGAGAUACGGCCAAGACUCCUACGGGAGGCAGCAGUGGGGAAUAUUGCACAAUGGGCGGAAGCCUGAAGCAGCGACGCCGCGUGGGGGAUGACGGCCUUCGGGGUGUAAACCUCUUUCGCCUGUGACGAAGCGUAAGUGACGGUAAUGGGUAAAGAAGCACCGGCUAACUACGUG